CUACGGGUGGCAGCAGUGGGGAAUUUUGCGCAAUGGGGGAAACCCUGACGCAGCAAUACCGCGUGAGUGAGGAAGGCCUUUGGGUCGUAAAGCUCUUUUCUUGGGGAAGAUAGUGACGGUACCCAAGGAAUAAGCACCGGCGUGACUCCGUGCCAGCAGCCGCGGUAAUACGGAGGGUGCAAGCGUUGUUCGGAUUUACUGGGCGUAAAGGGCACGUAGGCGGCACAGCAAGUUAAGGGUGAAAUCCCGGGGCUCAACUCCGGAACUGCUCUUAAAACUGCUGAGCUAGAGAUAGUCAGAGGCGGGUGGAAUUCCAGGUGUAGAGGUGAAAUUCGUAGAUAUCUGGAGGAACACCGGUGGCGAAGGCGGCCCGCUGGGGCUAUUCUGACGCUAAGGUGCGAAAGCGUGGGGAGUAAACGGGAUUAGAUACCCGCGUAGUC
rnacentral:rRNA from 1 species